ensembl:snoRNA
UGGAUCGAUGUUGAUAAAUGCCAGCGUAUGAGUCGUCGAUGAUGAAUAAUAUGUGUCUGGAACUCUGAGGUCCAA